ensembl:lncRNA
AGAAAUUCAAUAAGAAAAAACUGCCUUCCAAAAUUGUUCAAAGAAAAAAAAUAAUGACCAUAAGGACAUAAGCAAAGCCACGGAAAGAAAAGCAAACAAGCAAAGAAGAAAGGAAACCAAAGCAAAGCGAGAAAGCCAUGAAGCCAUGCAAAAUGCAAUGCAAAGGUAUGAAAGGAAAACCAAAGAGCAAAGCAAAGCACCAGAAAAACAAUAAAAAGAAGUGAAAGAAAAGGGACUGAAAAGGAAAGGAAACUAACAAUAAGUCAUUCGAUAAGAAGAGAAAGGGGAAGGAAAAAAAGGAAGGCAAAGAAAUGAACUGGAAGGAAGAAAACCACAUUAAGGAAAUAAACAAUGGAAAGCGAAGCAAAACGAGCAGUACAGAAAUCUGAAUUAGAAUUAGAAGGCAGAGCAAAGCAAAGCAAGUGAGGGCAAGGCUAGAGGAAGG